AACGUAGGUGGCAAGCGUUAUCCGGAUUUACUGGGCGUAAAGGGUGUGCAGGCGGGGGGUCAAGUGGGGUCUGAAAUCGCCCGGCUCAACCGGGUGGGGUGAUGCCAGACUGACCCUCUAGAGACGGAGAGAGGGGCGUGGAAUUCCGGGUGUAGUGGUGAAAUGCGUAGAGAUCCGGAGGAACCCCCGAGGCGAAGGCGGCGCCCUGGCUCCGUUCUGACGCUCAGACACGACAGCAUGGGGAGCGAACGGG
rnacentral:rRNA from 1 species